rnacentral:sRNA from 1 species
AGGCGUCCCCUAAAAAGGACGUCUCCCGGCCCUCUCCCGUCCGCGGGUGGGGCGCCCGCCGGAGGAUAACCAAACUCUGAUUUAACGACGUUUCUUCUGAGUGACACAAGCAAAUAAUCAAAACUUUUAACAACGGAUCUCUUGGUUCUGGCAUCGAUGAAGAACGCAGCGAAAUGCGAUAAGUAAUGUGAAUUGCAGAAUUCAGUGAAUCAUCGAAUCUUUGAACGCACAUUGCGCCCGCCAGCAUUCUGGCGGGCAUGCCUGUUCAAAGGUCCUUUCCACCCUGUAGCUCUGCCUUUGGUUGGUUUACUCCGAAGUUACGAUAACACCAAGAGUUUGUAUCCUCUGGCGGGCAACCCCCUUUUACCGGGCGCGGUCUGAUCCGCCGAGGCAUCAUGGGGGGCCCUUCACCGGGAAAUGCCAGUUUUAAGCUCGGUGAUGAUCCCGCCCGAGGGCGGGAAACUCAGGAAAAGAUUCAUCCGAACGUAACACC